rnacentral:rRNA from 1 species
UAGGGAAUCUUCGGCAAUGGGGGGAACCCUGACCGAGCAACGCCGCGUGAGUGAAGAAGGUUUUCGGAUCGUAAAGCUCUGUUGUUAAGGAAGAACGAGUGUGAGAAUGGAAAGUUCAUGCUGUGACGGUACUUAACCAGAAAGGGACGGCUAACUACGUGCCAGCAGCCGCGGUAAUACGUAGGUCCCGAGCGUUGUCCGGAUUUAUUGGGCGUAAAGCGAGCGCAGGCGGUUAGAAAAGUCUGAAGUGAAAGGCAGUGGCUCAACCAUUGUAGGCUUUGGAAACUGUUUAACUUGAGUGCAGGAGGGGAGAGGGGAAUUCCAUGUGUAGCGGUGAAAAGCGUAGAUAUAUGGAGGAACACCGGUGGCGAAAGCGGCUCUCUGGUCUGUAACUGACGCUGAGGCUCGAAAGCGUGGGGAGCGAACAGG